rnacentral:pre_miRNA from 1 species
GUUUUUAACUGAAAAAGUCAUCAACAAUAAAGUUGUAUAACUCAUCAAGAUAUAUAACUUUUAUUUUGAUCAUUUCUUCAUCCCAUAAAGUUAUUUGUAAGAUUUUUCACAAAAUAAACAUAUCUUAUAUAGUUUUUAUAAAACUAUAUAAGAGAUGUACAUUUUGUAAAAAAAUCUUACAAAUCACUUUGUCGGAUGAAGAAAUGACCAAAAUAGAAGUUAUAGAUCUUGAUGAGUUAUACAACUUUGUUAUUGAUGACUUUUUCAGAUGAAAUC